rnacentral:rRNA from 1 species
AACGUAGGUGGCAAGCGUUAUCCGGAUUUACUGGGCGUAAAGCGUGUGCAGGCGGUGGUACAAGGGGGGUAUGAAAUUUCCCAGCUUAACUGGGAAGGGUUAUGCCAGACUGUACUUCUGGAGUGCGAGAGAGGGGCGUGGAAUUCCGGGUGUAGUGGUGAAAUGCGUAGAUAUCACUAGGAACGCCGGUGGCGAAAGCGACCGACUGGACCUCUUCUGACGCUGAGGCGCGAAAGCCAGGGGAGCGAACGGG